ensembl:lncRNA
AUGAUCAACAUCUUCAAAAACUCAUUUUCUUGGGAAUUCCAUCAAGAAGGUCUGCUCUGCCUAUCACCACAGACUCUAGUCUUCAGCUGGGGCAGAACCCCCUGUGCCUUACUAUUUGCCACUUGUCAAGUCCACAAUGAUAUUGGCAAGUCAGCACCAGGUCUGAACUCUACUCUCUUUGUGGAAGAGAGACCACUUAAAGGAAAUACUCAAGCAGAUCAUUAUGCUCCACAAGCUAAACCCUCAAAGGAUAAAUCUCCAGUAAACUGUGAAAAGGAAGAGUGGAAAAAUUCUGAUUCUACUCUUCAUUGAUAUAAUCUCUGGAAUGCUCAAGGUGGUUGCUUAUGGCACCAGAUCAUUUCAAGUGGAUGUUAACAAAAUUUCUUCAUGAGACUACUCAUCAUGGAAUAGAAAAAUGGAUUAGUAUUUUUAAUCACCAUUAGUAAGAAAACUUUAAAAACAAGCUGAGGUUAUUUUCAGGUUAUGUGUCACCUGUCAGCCACAUAAUCCUGGAAGAAAUUGUAAAGAGUAAUCAUGGUCAGGACCCAAUGUCUCACUUUGAAUAUCUUCAGGUGAAUUUUAUCCAGCUUACAACCUCUGUGGAAUUUAAAUUUGCUUUAGUUAUUGUACAUCUAUUUUCAGGAGGGCCUAUAGCAUAUCCUUGCUGAAAAGCUAUAACCCUCACAGACAUCAAAAAAGCUGCUUGACUUUGUGUUUUCAACCUGGGAUGUCCCAAAUUUUAUAUCGAGCAAUUGGACACUCCCUUAAGAAAAGCCAUUAUAAAAGAACUCAGUAAAACACCAAAUCAAAAUUACAAUGAGAUAACAUUUCAUGCCAUUCAGAAUGGUGAUUAUUAAAAAAAUCAAGAAACAACAGAUGCUGGUGAAGCUGUGGAGAAAUAGGAACACUUUUACAUUGUUGUUGGGAAUGUAAAUUAGUUCAAUCAUUGUGGAAGACAGUGUGGUGAUUCCUCAAGGAUCUAGAACCAGAAAUACUAUUUGACCUGGCAAUCCCAUUACUGGGUACAUAUCCAAAAGAAUACAAAUCAUUCUACUAUAAAGACACAUGCACACAUAUGUUUAUUGCAGUACUAUUUUACAAUAACAAAGACACGAAACCAACCCAAAUGCCCAUCAACGAUAGGCUGGAUAAAGAAAACAUGGUACACAUAUACUAUGGAAUGCUGUGUAGCCAGAAAAAGGAAUGAGAUCAUGUCCUUUGCAGGGACAUAGAUGAAGCUGGAAGCCAUCAUCCUCAGCAAACUAACCCAGGAACAGAAAACCAAGUAGCAUAUGUUCUCACUCAUAAGUGGGAGUUGACCAAUGAGAAGAUUAUGUCAAUACAUGAACACAGCGGGGGAAACAACACACACUAGGGCCAGUUGGAGGUCAGGGGGUGAGGGAAGAGAAAGCAUUAGGAUAAAGAGCUAAUGCAUGUGAGGCUUAAAACCUAGAUGACGCAUUGACAGGUACAGCAAACCACCAUGGCACACGUUUACCUAUGUAGCAAACCUGCAGGUUCUACACUUGUAUCCCGGAAUUUAAGAUAAAAAUUUUUUUAAAAGUUGCAUUGUCAUUUUUGCCACAUUGUAUUAAUCAAAGCAAGCUACAAAGCUAGCCCAGAUUAAAAAGAAUGGGGAGAGAACUCGAAGACAGAUAAGAUGAAUGGCAAAGUCACAUUGAAGUAUAGCAGCGUCCACUGGAAUAGGAAAACUAAGGGAAAUUUUAAAAGUCUAACAUGAGCUUAUAAGGAAUUUGAAUUUUAUCUUUUAGUGAUUGAGGCAUCUCUAAAAGAUAUUAAACAGGGGAGUUAUAUGGUUAAGGUUUUAUUUUAGAAAGGUAACUAAGAAGGUAGUAUGGAAGAUAAACUGAAGAGAGAAAAGAUUUAAGAUAGGCAAAAUGUAUUUAAAAGACUAAUAAAAUAGUCUAGGGAUAGAGUUAGGGAUGACAGAGGCUUGAACAAAGAUUGAGGAGAUAGCUUACAGAUUUUUCAAUCUGAGUCAGUGUCUAGUAGGAUUCAAAAUUAUAUGUAACAUGAUAACUCACUAUAGUAUGACUGUGUAAUAAAUUAUAUAUCACAUUUUGGUAAAACAUAUGUGAUGUAAAUAUUUAUCAAGUGAAAGUAAGGGAAUCAUAAUCAUAAGCAUAGGAUUUGGCUGGAAUAGUGAUUGCUGUGGGCAAAAGUUGUAAGCUGCUUUAAAGUUCUGCAUUUUCUAUAUUGUUGUGGGCUUAUACUUACUAAUUAUAUUGCCAAAAGAAACAGAGAGAGAAAGAAGAAAGAUAAUUGUAGACCAAAGAUAAGCACAUCGCAUGCAGCAAGGCCUGCUCUGAAUCUCUGAUCCGUGAAUAGAAAUGAUAAUAGCAGUCUGUUGUGUGAAUAUCUGGUGAGAUGGAUUUAUAUGCAGCAUUUCACAAACUUGCUUGCUUUUGAAUCAUUUGUCCACAGAUACACUUUGGGUAGUAGUGAAGAACUUAACAUUUCAUCGACAGAUAAGGACAGUUGACUUAGGAGACAUAAAACAAACAUCCUUUCUGAUUCCAUACUUAAUUUUUUCUUCUUUUGUUUGUUUUAGUGGCUUUAAAAUAAUUUUAUCAAUUAGUAAGAAUUCAAUAACAUUUAAUAAGGACUGAAUACUUUACAAGGUCCUUAAUACUAUUAAUAAAAAAAUCAUAAAAGCUGUAUUUUAGCAUCUGAAGAUGAGCUGCCCAAUAUGGUGGCUACAAGACACCCGGGGACAUUAAACACUUGAAAUGCAGAUAAUGUGACCAAGAAAUUAAAUUUUAAUUUUAAUUAUUUUCCACUAAGUAUAACUUUAUUGCUUUGGUCAAAGCAUAUUUCACUUAAAUUAUUGUAAACUUAGCAUCCAAUUUGUGAUGUGCGAUAAGCAUGGAAAACUCACUGUAUUUGAAGACAAUAUGAAAAAAUGGUACAAUAGCUCAUUAACAAUUUUUAUAUUUAUUGCAUGCAGAAGUGAUCAUUUUUGAUACAUUAGAACAAAUAAAAUAUUAAAGCCAAUAUCAUUUGUUCUUAACUAUUUUUAAUGUGGCUGCCAAAAAAUGUAAAGUUUCAUAUUUGGCUCGCAUUUAUUUCU